AGAGUUUGAUCCUGGCUCANAUUGAACGCUGGCGGCAUGCCUUACACAUGCAAGUCGAACGGUAGAGGGGCAACCCUUGAGAGUGGCGAACGGGUGAGUAAUAUAUCGGAACGUGCCCAGUCGUGGGGGAUAACGCAGCGAAAGCUGCGCUAAUACCGCAUACGAUCUAUGGAUGAAAGCGGGGGAUCGCAAGACCUCGCGCGAUUGGAGCGGCCGAUAUCAGAUUAGGUAGUUGGUGGGGUAAAAGCCCACCAAGCCGACGAUCUGUAGCUGGUCUGAGAGGACGACCAGCCACACUGGGACUGAGACACGGCCCAGACUCCUACGGGAGGCAGCAGUGGGGAAUUUUGGACAAUGGGCGCAAGCCUGAUCCAGCAAUGCCGCGUGCAGGACGAAGGCCUUCGGGUUGUAAACUGCUUUUGUACGGAGCGAAACGGUCUGGGUUAAUACCCUGGGCUAAUGACGGUACCGUAAGAAUAAGCACCGGCUAACUACGUGCCAGCCGCCGCGGUAAUAC
rnacentral:rRNA from 1 species